AUAGAAGAAAUAUUGGAGAACACGGAUGUGUACUCCUCUUUCCAUAUGUCCUUCAUAUCAUAUUCCAACGUAAACCUGAGGCGUCUUGACCUAUGGCGAAGGAUGUGUGGUGAAACAGGGUGAGGAGAUUCACCGCUGCCUUCACUUCAUUAUUUAUUUACUUUUCAAGUCACCGGGAAUGUAAUCGUAGGAUGCAGCUAGUAUCCAGACCACCAGAAUAGGCGAGAAUUACGAGAUCUUUCGCCAUGACUAGACCCGAUUGAUUGCUUCUACGGUCGUGGAUAAACUGAAAGCGACGAUGAACUUCUGCAGAGGGUGCUGAUAACCCGGGGUCAACACAAUAGUGAAGUCUCUUUGUGAUUGGAAUUUAUUGUAAUUUCUAUAAAUAUAAUUAAACAAGCGGCACGCCUGGCUUUGCGUAGUCGUAAUUACCAUA